rnacentral:rRNA from 1 species
AGGGCACCACCAGGAGUGGAGCCUGCGGCUUAAUUUGACUCAACACGGGAAAACUCACCCGGCCCGGACACUGGAAGGAUUGACAGAUUGAGAGCUCUUUCUUGAUUCAGUGGGUGGUGGUGCAUGGCCGUUCUUAGUUGGUGGAGUGAUUUGUCUGGUUAAUUCCGAUAGCGAACGAGACUCUAGCCUACUAAAUAGAUAGUCGGCUUACAAACGUCGACUAGACUUCUUAGAGGGACAGGCGGUGAUUCAACCGCACGAAACAGAGCAAUAACAGGUCUGUGAUGCCCUUAGAUGUCCGGGGCCGCACGCGCGCUACACUGAAGUGAUCAGCGUGCUUUUUCAGCCUACUCUGUCAAGAGUGGGAAACCCAAUGAACCUUCUUCGUGAUUGGGAUAGGGGAUUGUAAUUAUUCCCCUUGAACGAGGAAUUCCCAGUAAGCGCGAGUCAUAAGCUCGCGUUGAUUACGUCCCUGCCCUUUGUACACACCGCCCGUCGCUACUACCGAUUGAAUGUUUU